UGGUGGAGUGCUUUGUCUGGUUAAUUCCGUUAACGAACGAGACCUCGACCUGCUAAAUAGUGCGCCGAAUUCCUUGAAUUCGUGUGGAACUUCUUAGAGGGACUAUCGGUUGGUGUACCCGGUGGAAGUGCGAGGCAAUAACA
rnacentral:rRNA from 1 species